GAUCGUGCAUGUCUCGUUUGUUACCUUUUGGAUCGCUUGAGCAUCGAGCCCCUAACAAAAUGAGAUUUGCUGCUGCCAGGCAACGCACUCCAGGAACUUGGAUCAGACAUAAUCGCAGACGAUUACAGUGCCAAAUGUCCAAGCAACACCGAGCUACAGAACUAGAGUCGAUUCAGGAAUACGCCUCUUGACUGGAGAAACCCGCAGCGGUUCAUCUCUGCUCUUUGUGUAACACGCUGCUGCUGCUGUUUGCCAGGACUCGCCGUGCAACUUGGUAAAAGUUUAGUCGUUUACAUUCUUGUUCAAGCAUCUUCCGAUAUCGCCUCGAGCUGGCACAAAGUUUAACUAUUUACUUUCCAAAAGUGCGACAUGCAUCGGAUAACAGGAGCGCGUGCGUCCAUGUUUGUAGUGGCGGCUGGCAAACUAACUUAAAGUGCAUUUCCGCCACCUUCUGAGAUGGAGUGUGGAGCAAUAUAAGUAAUACAGGGAUUUUAAAAAGGAGAUAAACAGCUCCAAAAUCAGUCAAGCACAUCUCAGGACCGGAGCAGGUUUAUGCUAUGUUUAGGCGUGCGAAUCGGCUGUCUUACCUCCAGGGAUGAAGGGAUUGUAAAGGACUGCAGGGGCUGCCUGGACUGCAUGGACUCAGGAUGAUGGGGCUCUGGCUGGGUGACAAA